AAGGGCACGGCCCAUCUGCGGGUGACCCCGGGGCUGUGCCGGGCCAGGCAGCGCCUGCAGCACAGCUUCCCCAGGCUGUGGCGGUGGGUGCAGGAGCGCUGGAGGCACUGCCGUGCACAGCCCUUUUGGCAGCGCUGGUCCUCCGUGGGGAGGAAGACUCCCUGAGCCCGAGUGUGGGGCCCGGCAAUGCCACAGCCCCACCGCGCUCCCUCCGGCUCAGACCGCUGAAGGGUUUCCCUUCCCGGCUGCUGCUGAUCCCUUCCCAUCCCGGAGUCACACAGCCCAGCAGUGCCCCCGAGCAGCAAUGGGUCCCAAGGACCACUUGGGAUGGUCAUGCAGAUGCUGGUGCUGUUGCAGCACAGCCUGUUUGCAGUCGUGCUGCGGUCCCGGCGGCUGCGGGUAGGUGAUGGAUGAGGGGCCCGGGGGCGCGGGGGCACAGGGGCUGCCCCUCACCCACCCACUCACUGCUCCCACAGAAGAUCUGCCGGAGGUUGGGGAAGAAGAGGAGAGCGCCGAGCGCCAGGAGGAAGAAGGGAGAGGUGAGCAGCCCCAGUGCCAGCGCUGAGCAGCCUAGCCAGUGUGGGGCUGGGCGGGGGUCCCGGCCGUUCACACGCUCUUGCUUUGGCAGAUGCUUGCGGGAAGGACAGAGCAGCGGGGAUGCCGUCGCCGACGUGGGAAUUGCGGUGAGUGCUGCUUGGCCAACCUGCCCCCCAUUGCUGCAGGGCCUGGCGUCAGGGCCACGGGUGGGUGCUGUGCUGGGGUCGUGGCCGGGGGCUGUGCUGCGGGCAUGGCGGCAGCGGGUCCCCUCAUCUCCUCCAUUUCCUCCUGCAGGACGAGCCCACGGGAAAGGAGCAGGAAGCCACCCCGGGCCCCGCUGGCAUCCAUGCUGUCCCUGGGCUCCCUCGAUGAAUCUUCUUCCUCCUCCUGUUCCUCCCUCUACUCCUUCCCAGAGCCCUGGCCCGGUGCACUGGCAGAGUUGGCUGCCCUUGCCCCUGGGGCCGCCUCAGAGCCACGAGAGCCACAACCAGAGCCAGAGCCACAGCAAGAACCAGCAGCAGAGUCAGAGGCAGAGGAAGAGCCUGAGGAAGAGCCUGAGGAAUAGCUGGAGCCCGAACCAGAGUCAGAGGCAGAGUCAGAGGAAGAGGCAGAGGAAGAGCCUGAGGCAGAGCCAUCCCUGUGCCCCAGCUCGGAGUCCCCGGCUCUGCUGCCAGCAGCCUCCAGCACCCCCCACUCCCUGGGGCUGAGUGAGCAGAGCGAUGGAGCGCAGAGCCCCAUGGAGCCCUCCCCACCCCACUGCUCCCACACGAAGCUCAUCCAGGAGCUGCUCUGUGCCAUCCGUGAGAACCACGCAGCCGUUGAGCACCGCUGCCAACUGCUGCGGGCAGUGCUGGAGCGGCAGAGGGCAGCCGGGACGCCCAGAGAGC
rnacentral:lncRNA from 1 species